GCCACGGAUGGGACGUGAUGUCUGUGUAGAGUCCUCCCUUAAUGCGAAACUGCGGCUGCUUGUACUGUCUCUGACCACAGGUGGCUGGGAGAGGAAAGCACAGAGAAGGGAGAUCAGACCUGCGGUCCUUGGAAAUAACGCGGCCCUGCAGCUCCCUCCUGGAGAAUGUCUACCCUGUUUUCCAUCUACUGCACCCUGUCCAUCCUUCAAGGCCUAGGUGAAAUCCCACCUCCUCAUGGAGCUUUCUUCACACACCCAACCCACCGGCUCCGAGCGGGCUCACCGGUACUGCUCAGGGAGGACGCACCAUGCAUGGCCUUGGUUGUGAGUCCACUGGUAGUUUGUGUCUUACCUGCCCAGGUCCCCUGUGUGAAACGGGCUCUGUGAGAAAGGCUGGAAGAGUUCACAGCAGAAGUAGCAGCUGUGGGGUCAGAGGACGUGGGAUCAGACCCGGGCUCUGCUACUCGGAGCCCAGUGAGCUUGGGCAGGCCAUGUGACUUCUGAGCUGGUUUCCUCAUCCAGAAACCGAAGACAGGAAGACUGCCUCUCACCACACUGUCAGGAGAACGCUAUGAGAGCACUUUGUUAUCUAGGGAGCCGUAUACGUGAGCUAUCCUCCUCCAUGCUCACCAUGACCUCAUCAUUGAUCAUUAAUAAAGGCAUCUGGAGAGAGAAGUUCAGAGCCUAAUGAAUUCUAAGAGAAACUGGCCGUUCUUCUCUUCCGUUUUGCCCCUCUGCGUCACCCUCGUGCAUGAGAAGUGAACACCUGCCCAGAGAGUUGUCAUCCCGCCAUUGCUUCAGUCAUGGAGACUCCCCCACCAAGGCCUUCCUGAAAAUCUGGGAGCUACACAGUCUGAACCAGACAGCUGUGAGGACACAGGAAGUGGCGGAGGGAAUGGUCAGUAAGGGGGGCUGGGCAGCGGGAGGUGGCCAAGGGCCAGCCCUUACAGCACUGGGGCACGUCACAGUAUUCCCACGUCAACUUGCGGUCCUU